rnacentral:rRNA from 1 species
UACGUAGGGUGCAAGCGUUAAUCGGAAUUACUGGGCGUAAAGCGUGCGCAGGCGGUUAUGUAAGACAGGUGUGAAAUCCCCGGGCUUAACCUGGGAACUGCAUUUGUGACUGCAUAGCUAGAGUACGGCAGAGGGGGAUGGAAUUCCGCGUGUAGCAGUGAAAUGCGUAGAUAUGCGGAGGAACACCGAUGGCGAAGGCAAUCCCCUGGGCCUGUACUGACGCUCAUGCACGAAAGCGUGGGUAGCAAACAGG